rnacentral:rRNA from 1 species
AACGAACGCUGGCGGCAGGCUUAACACAUGCAAGUCGAACGGGUGCAGCGAUGCAUCAGUGGCAGACGGGUGAGUAACACGUGGGAACCUUCCUAGGGGUACGGAACAACUCAGGGAAACUUGAGCUAAUACCGUAUGUGUCCGAGAGGAGAAAGAUUUAUCGCCCUUAGACGGGCCCGCGUCGGAUUAGCUAGUUGGUGGGGUAACGGCCUACCAAGGCGACGAUCCGUAGCUGAUCUUAGAGGAUGAUCAGCCACACUGGGACUGAGACACGGCCCAGACUCCUACGGGAGGCAGCAGUGGGGAAUCUUGGACAAUGGGCGCAAGCCUGAUCCAGCCAUGCCGCGUGAGUGAAGAAGGUCUUCGGAUUGUAAAGCUCUUUUGCCAGGGACGAUAAUGACGGUACCUGGAGAAUAAGCCCCGGCAAACUUCGUGCCAGCAGCCGCGGUAAUAC